rnacentral:rRNA from 1 species
CCUACGGGUGGCAGCAGUGGGGAAUAUUGGACAAUGGGCGAAAGCCUGAUCCAGCCAUGCCGCGUGUGUGAAGAAGGCCUUCGGGUUGUAAAGCACUUUCAGUGGGGAAGAAAGCCUUGGGGCUAAUACCCUCGAGGAAGGACAUCACCCACAGAAGAAGCACCGGCUAACUCCGUGCCAGCAGCCGCGGUAAUACGGAGGGUGCGAGCGUUAAUCGGAAUUACUGGGCGUAAAGCGCGCGUAGGCGGUCUGAUAAGCCGGUUGUGAAAGCCCCGGGCUCAACCUGGGAACGGCAUCCGGAACUGUCAGGCUAGAGUGCAGGAGAGGAAGGUAGAAUUCCCGGUGUAGCGGUGAAAUGGGUAGAGAUCGGGAGGAAUACCAGUGGCGAAGGCGGCCUUCUGGACUGACACUGACGCUGAGGUGCGAAAGCGUGGGUAGCAAACAGGAUUAGAUACCCAGUAGUC